ensembl:lncRNA
AAGCAGCUGCAUGCAUUCACCAUGGGCACACCCACAUGCAACGCAGCUGCAUGCAUGCAAUAUGGCCACACACUCACAUGCAAAGCAGCUCCAUGCAUGCACUAUGUGCACACCCACAUGCAAAAGAGCUGCAUGCAUGCACUAUGUGCACACACUCAUAUGCAAAGCAGCUGCAUGCAUGCACGAGGUGCACACACACAUGCAAAGGAGCUGUGCACACCCACAUGCAAAGCAGCUGCAUGCAUGCACUGUGUGCACAAACACUUGCAAAUCAUCCGCAUGCAUGCACUACGUGCACACACACACGCAAAGCAGCUGCAUGCAUGCACUAUAUGCACACACCCCCAAGCAAAGGAGCUGCAUGCAUGCAUUAUAUGCAAACCCACAUACAGAAGAGCUGCAUGCAUGCACGAUGUGCACACACCCACAUGCAAAGCAGCUGCAUGCAUGCGCUGUGUGCACCCCCCGUGCAAAGGAACUGCAUGCAUGCACUGUGCACACACACAUGCAAAGGAGCUGCAAGCAUGCACUGUGCACACAUCCACAUGCAAAGCAGCUGCAUGCAUGCACUACGUGCACACACUCACAUGCAAAGGAGCUGCAUGCAUGCACUAUGUGCACACACACAAGCAAAGGAGCUGCAUGAAUGCAACAUGGCCACACACUCACAUGCAAAGCAGCUGCACGCAUGCACGAUGUGCACACACACACGCAAAGCAGCUGCAUGCAUGCACUGUGCACACUCACGUACAAAGAGCUCCAUGCAUGCACAAUGUUCACACACCCACAUGCAAAGCAGUUGCAAGCAUGCACUAUGUGCACACACUCACGUGCAAAGCAGCUGCAUGCACGCAUUAUGGACACACUCACAUGCAAAGGAGCUGCAUGCAUGCACUAUGUGCACACACAGAUGCAAAAGAGCUGCAUGCAUGAACCACGUGCACACACCUCAUGGAAAGGAGCUGCAUGCAUGCACUAUGUGCACAUAAUCACGUGCAAAGCAGCUGCAUGCAUGCACCAUGGGCACACCCACAUGCAAAGGAGCUGCAUGCAUGCACUAUGUGCACUCACACAUGCAUAGGAGCUGCAUGCGUGCACUGUGUGCAAACCCACAUGCAAAGCAGCUGCAUGCAUGCACCAUGGGCGCACACACACUCAAAGCAGCUGCAUGCAUGCACUGUGAGCACAAACACUUGCAAAUCAUCUGCAUGCAUGCACGACGUGCACACCCACAUGCAAAAGAGCUGCAUGCAUGCACUACGCGCACACACACACGCAAAGCAGCUGCAUGCAUGCACUAUAUGCACACACCCCCAAGCAAAGGAGCUGCAUGCAUGCAUUAUAUGCAAACCCACAUACAGAAGAGCUGCAUGCAUGCACGAUGUGCACGCACACAUGCAAAGCAGCUGCACGCAUGCAUUAUGUGCACACACAUGCAAAGCAGCUGUGCACGCCCACAUGCAAAGGAGCUGCAUGCAUGCACUGUGCACACUCACAUGCAAAUCAGAUGCAUGCAUGCAGUAUGUUCAGACCCACAUGCAAAGGAGCUGCAUGCAUGCACGAUGUGCACACACACAUGCAAAAGAGCUGCAUGCAUGCACCACGUGCACACACACAUUCAAAGGAGCUGCAUGCAUGCACAAUGUGCACAUAAUCACGUGCAAAGCAGCUGCAUGCAUUCACCAUGGGCACACUCACAUGCAAAGGAGCUGCAUGCAUGCAACAUGGCCACACACUCACAUGCAAAGCAGCUGCAUGCAUGCACUAUGUGCACUCCCACAUGCAAAGCAGCUGCAUGCAUGCACUAUGUGCACACACUCACGUGCAAAGCAGCUGCAUGCAUGCAGUACGUGCACACACACAUGCAAAGGAGCUGCAUGCACGCACGACGUGCACACCCACAUGCAAAGCAGCUGCACGCACGCACUGCGCGCACCCCCCCCGUGCAAAGGAGCUGCGCUCACACGGGCACGCA